rnacentral:rRNA from 1 species
AGUGAACGCUGGCGGUAGGCCUAACACAUGCAAGUCGAACGGCAGCACAGUAAGAGCUUGCUCUUACGGGUGGCGAGUGGCGGACGGGUGAGGAAUACAUCGGAAUCUACUUUUUCGUGGGGGAUAACGUAGGGAAACUUACGCUAAUACCGCAUACGACCUACGGGUGAAAGCAGGGGAUCUUCGGACCUUGCGCGAUUGAAUGAGCCGAUGUCGGAUUAGCUAGUUGGCGGGGUAAAGGCUCACCAAGGCGACGAUCCGUAGCUGGUCUGAGAGGAUGAUCAGCCACACUGGAACUGAGACACGGUCCAGACUCCUACGGGAGGCAGCAGUGGGGAAUAUUGGACAAUGGGCGCAAGCCUGAUCCAGCCAUACCGCGUGGGUGAAGAAGGCCUUCGGGUUGUAAAGCCCUUUUGUUGGGAAAGAAAGGCAGCAGGUUAAUACCCCGCUGUUCUGACGGUACCCAAAGAAUAAGCACCGGCUAACUUCGUG